CAGUCGCCACGGGAAUACGGAGGGUGCAAGCGUUAUCCGGAUUUAUUGGGUUUAAAGGGUCCGUAGGCGGAUCUGUAAGUCAGUGGUGAAAUCUCACAGCUUAACUGUGAAACUGCCAUUGAUACUGCAGGUCUUGAGUAAAUUUGAAGUGGCUGGAAUAAGUAGUGUAGCGGUGAAAUGCAUAGAUAUUACUUAGAACACCAAUUGCGAAGGCAGGUCACUAAGAUUUAACUGACGCUGAUGGACGAAAGCGUGGGGAGCGAACAGGAUUAGAUACCCGCGUAGUCCCUGUCUCUUAUAU
rnacentral:rRNA from 1 species